rnacentral:rRNA from 1 species
GAUGAACGCUAGCGGCAGGCCUAACACAUGCAAGUCGAGGGGUAACAGGGAUUGCUUGCAAUCCGCUGACGACCGGCGCACGGGUGCGUAACGCGUAUACAAUCUACCUUUUACUGGAGGAUAGCCUUUGGAAACGAAGAUUAAUACUCCAUAGUAUGUUGAUUUCGCAUGGAUUCGACAUUAAGAUUACGGUAAAAGAUGAGUAUGCGUCCUAUUAGCUAGAUGGUGUGGUAACGGCACACCAUGGCAACGAUAGGUAGGGGCCCUGAGAGGGGAUCCCCCACACUGGUACUGAGACACGGACCAG